GAUGAAGAACGUAGCAAAAUGCGAUAAGUAAUGUGAAUUGCAGAAUUCAGUGAAUCAUCGAAUCUUUGAACGCACAUUGCGCCCGCCAGUAUUCUGGCGGGCAUGCCUGUUCGAGCGUCAUUUCAACCCUCAAGCACAGCUUGGUGUUGGGACUCGCGUUAAUUCGCGUUCCCCAAAUUGAUUGGCGGUCACGUCGAGCUUGCAUAGCGUAGUAGUAAAACCCUCGUUACUGGUAAUCGUCGCGGCCACGCCGUUAAACCCCAACUUCUGAAUGUUGACCUCGGAUCAGGUAGGAAUACCCGCUGAACUUAAGCAUAUCAAUAAGCGGAGGA
rnacentral:misc_RNA from 1 species